AAAUUAUACACACACACACACACACACACACACACACUAUGUUUAACAUCCUUGUACAUAUGUUUUUGCACACUUGUGCUAACAAUUUUAUAGAAUAAUUUCCUAGAAGAACUGCACAAAGAAUGCCAAUUUUUUUUUUCUGGAGACGAAGUCUCCCUCUGUCACCCAGGCUGGAGUGCAGUGGCAUGAUCCCAGGUCACUGCAACCUUCGCUUCCUGAGUUCAAGCGAUUCUCCUACCUCAGCCUCCUGAGUAGCUGGGACUACAGGCACGUCCCACAAUGCCCAGCUAAUAUAUUUUUUUGAAAUGGAGUCUCACUCUGUUGCCCAGGCUGGAGUGCAGUGGCGCGAUCUUGGCUCACUGCAACCCCUGGUUCACGCAAUUCCCCUGCCUCAGCCUCCCAAGUACCUGGGAUUACAGGUGCAUGCUACCAUGCCCGGCUAUUUUUUUUGUAUUUUUAGUAGACAUAGGGUUUCACCAUAUUGGCCAGGCUAGUCUCAAACUCCUGACCUCAGGCAAUUUGCUUGCCUUGGCCUCCCAAAGUGCUGGGAUUACAGGUGUGAAGCACUGCACCCAGCCAGAAUGCCUACAUUUUAAUCUGAAUCUGUAUUGCCAGCUUUCCCUCUCAAGGUAGCACCAAGUCCAUCCCAAUUUGAGUGGAUAAAAAUGCCUCCACCCCCUCACUGCACCAGGUAUUAUCAACCAGUUUACUAAGGAGUCACAUUAACUAGACCAAUCAAUUCACUCUAGAAGGAUGAGGACGAAUAGUGGGCAUUUCAGAAAUAUUCUUGUUGCUGAGGCUCCAGGGGGCCAAAAGUUUAAUAAGAGCAACCAGGUAUUUUCACAGAAGAAGAAAACACAUCAUUUUCUACUCCUUUUACCCCCUACACAAAAUAAAAACAAAACAGAAACAGUAUAUUAAUAAGUGCCAUCCUGUAUCUGUAUCAUUUAUAAUGUGUAGACUCAGGUUGUGAGGAUAUGAGUCAAAAUCCAGGCAUCAGAUUGAGAAAAGUCAGAGAAAAUCGAUGAAUGCGUUUAGUUUUAGGUAGGAAGCUAAAGAAGUGAAAGUCCUAGAUACAUGCAGAAAUGAUUGUCUAUGGAAAGUGAUAAUGUCCUAAUGUGGAGAGAUUAAUUUGGAAAUUUCUUCACCUCAACUGAAGAAUUUACAGUGCUUUAAAAACUUAUAUCAGGGGCCACUACAUAGAAUACAUUGUUCUCAGACAGAGUAAGUACUUUUGUGGUUAGGUAAGGCAGUGCUAGAAACUCUCAAGAGCAGCUUUCUCUGGGAAAUCACACUUGCUUCUAACAAGAGCUGUGGCUGUGAGCCACCAACACUGCAGGGACACUCAUGCGCCUGGAGGUCCCUAGACAGCAGAAAGGAGGGAGUGACACCUUGGUCAAUCCAGUACGAAAACUAUGUUUGGGUGAUGAUGGCUCAGGCCCUGGCUGGCUUUGCAACCCUGGAGCAGCCACUUAACAUCUCCAAACCUCUGUCAACUUUCUUGUAAAGACAUCAGCAGGAUGAUUUCUAAGAUGUUUUUCAGCUCUGAAAACUGUCAGAUUGUAAACUAAAAGUACUGAUUCACAAAUGUUUGUGUGUUAUCAGAUUGACUUGGAGAGCUAAUAAAGAGCACAGAGGAUAGGAUCUGGGCUCUGGUGAGUGUAUCAAGUUCCCCAGGUGAUUUUGAUACUGACCAAAGGUUAAGAACCACUGAACUAGGGAAAGGAUGAGAAUCGGAGCAUAGAUUUUUGAAAAUAUAUAACUGUUAGGAGAAUUAGUGGGAUGAUACAGUAAAGUGUAAAGUGCUACUAAAAUAUUAUGAUUACUGUAUUACCAUAGGGCCUUAUUUACCAAAUGACUUUAAUUCUGGAAAUGAUCAAUUAUCAAUUAUGGUCAUGUCUUUGUCCAUCUGUUAAAAAAUGUCUCCAUGGGCCAGGUGCAGUGGUUCAUGCCUAUAAUCCCAGCACUUUGGAAGGCCAAGGCAAGCGGAUCACUUGAGCCAGGGAGUUUGAGACCAGCCUGGACAACAUAGUGAAAUCUCGUCUCUGUUAAAAAUACAAAAAUUAGCCAGGCAUGGUGGCAGGCGCCUGCAAUCCCAGCUACUCUGCAGGCUGAGGCACAAGAAUUGCUUGAACCCUGGAGGUGGAGGUUGCAGUGAGCCGAGAUCAUGCCACUGCACUCCAGCCUGGGCGACAGAGCCAGAGGAAGACUCCAUCUCAAAAAAAAAAAAAAAAAAAAGAGAGAGAGAGAGACUCCUGACAGUAAACAGAUCAGUGGUCACCAGGGAUUAGAGGGGAGGGAAUGAUGAAUAGGCAGAGCACAGAGGAUUUCCAGAGCAGUGAAAAUACUCUGUAUGACUGGGAUAGUGGAAAUCAUUAUACAUUUGUCCAAACCCAUAGCAUAUACAGUACUAAGGGUGAGCCCUAAUGUAAACUGUGGACUUUGGGUAAUAAUGGUGUGUCAGUGUAGGUUCACCAAUUGUAAUAAAUGUACCACUCUGGUGGGGAAUGUUGAUAACAGAGGAGGCUAUGCAUGUGCGGGGCAGGAGUAUGUUGAAAAUCUUUGUACCUUCCUCUCAAUCUUGACAUAAGCCUAAUACUGCUCUAAAAAAUAAUGUCUUGACCAGGUGCGGUGGCUCACACCUGUAAUCCCAGCACUUUGGGAGGCCAAAGUGGGAGGAUCGCUUGAGCUAAAGAUUUUGAGACCAGCCUAGGCAAUAUGGUGAGACCUCAUUUCUUUUCUUUUCUUUUCUUUUCUUUUCUUUUCUUUUCUUUUUUUGAGAGAAAUCUUGCUCUUAACCCCCAGGUGUGAGUGCAAUGGCUUGAUUUUGGCCCACUGCAACCUCCGCCUCCCGGUUUCAAACGAUUCUCCGGCCUCUGCCUCCCAAAUAGCCGGGAUUAACCACGCCCGGCUAAUUUUUGUAUUUUUUUUUUUUUAGUAGAGACGGGGUUUCACCAUGUUGGCCAGGCUGGAGUGAGACCUCAUUUCUACAAAUUUUUUUUUUAAAGUUAGCCAGGUGUGGUAGUGCAUACAGUCCCAGCUACUCGGGAGGCUGAGGUGGGAGGAUUGCCUGAGCCUGGGAGGUUGCAGUGAGCCAUGAUCGGCCCACUGCAUUCCUGCCUGAGCAAGAGAACAAAAUGCUUUCUCCAAAAAAAAAAAAAAAAAAGAAGUUUGGAAAACAUCUUAAUAAGUGUUCUUGCCACAAAUAAAUAGUAUGUGAAGUUAUGCAUAUGUUAAUUAGCUUAAUUUAUCCAUUCCACAAUGUAUACCUAUUUCAAAACAUCAUGUUGUACACUAUAAACUACACAAUAUUUAUUUUUCAAUUAUAAAUAAAUAAAUAUUUUAAAAAGUGUCUCCUUCGUUGGGAAAACCCACACCAGUCUCGUUGACUUUCUGGCCUUGUGAUCAGUCUCCAGCAUUCUAGCUCCUUGUUUCAGAUGUGGUACAUGUCUCUCCACUGCUAAGGACACUAAUACUAACUCUUUCAUGAGGUUCCUCAUUUUAAAGCUUUCAAAGCACUUGCAGAUUCAUUUCAUUUGAUUUCACACUCAUCCAAUAGGGUGAGCAGAACAAGUAUCACUAUAUCCAUUUUGGGAUGAUAAUUUUUCAGGCACACAGGUACUUCUUAGAAACACUGCGCCCUGGACUAUAAGCCACUUGAGUUUAGGUGCUGAUGUCUUGCUCACUGUUGUGUGCUUAUCUCUGAGGAUAGAAGAGUUCAGAGUAGAUGUUGAUAAGUAUUAAAUAUAGAUAUUAAAUUCUGCCACUCAUUUCCUAAAAAUGCUGAAUUUUGACCUCAGCAAGGAUAAUACAUCUCCUGUUCAUCUCCACCAGAACUUAUGGUUCAAAAGGGCAGAGAUUUUUUACCUCAUUUGUUCACUGCUCUAUCCCAAAUACCUUGAACGCUGUCUGACUCAUAUUAGGUACUCAAUAAUUACUUUUUAAAAUAAGCAAAUAUGCUUGAAUCUUUAAUGCCUAACCCAGAGCCUGGGCCAGAAAUAUGCUUACUAAGUGUGUGCUGGGCCAGGUACGGUGGCUCACGCCUGUAAUCCCAGCACUUUGGGAGGCUGAGGAGGGCAGAUCACCUGAGGUUGGGAGUUUGAGACCAGCCUGACCAACAUGGAGAAACCCCAUCUCUACUAAAAUUACAAAAAAAAAAAAAAAAAUUGUCUGGGCGUAGUGGCGCAUGCCUGUAAUCCCAGCAACUUGGGAGGCUGAGGCAGGAGAAUCUCUUGAACCUGGGACGCAGAGGUUGCAGUCAGCCAAGAUCGCACCAUUGCACUCCAGCCUGGACAACGAGAGGGAAACUCCGUCCCAAAAAAAAAAAAAAAAAAACUGUGUGAUGAAUGAAAUACUCUAAGGGAAGAGAAAAGAGGGGAAAUUUAAAUAUCAAAGCUAAUAAAAUCAAAUUGUCUCAUCUAUAGUAGACUAUCAAAUGAAUUUCUAUUAUAAGAUGCUACCGAAUCACCAACAAAAUGACCAUUUGAUUUUUUCUUUUUUUUUGAGAUGGAGUUUCACUCUUGUGGCCUGAGCUGGAGUGCAAUGGUGCGAUCUCAGCUCACUGCAACCUCCGCCUCCCAGGUUCAAGCAAUUCUCCUGCCUCAGUCUCCCAAGUAGCUGGGAUUACAGGUGCGCGCCACCAUGCCUGGCUAAUUUUUGGUAUUUUUAGUAGAAACAGGGUUUCACCAUGUUAGCUGGGCUGGUCUUAAGCUCCUGACCUCAGGUGAUCCACCCACCUUGGACUCCCAAAGUGCUGGGAUUAUAGGCGUGAGCCACCACGCCCAGCCAAUCGUUUGAUGUUUUAAACAUGUAUACACAUUUCUUUGGUUGAAAAGAACAGAUUUUAAAACAUGUAUGUUUUUUUGAAAGGUAAGUGAAAAAGCAGCUUAGAAUUAAGUAAAAUAAAAUACAUGCAUUUAGGCCGGGCGCGGUGGCUCAGGCCUGUAAUCCAGCAGUAUGGGAGGCCGAGGCGGGUGGAUUACGAGGUCAGGAGUUCGAGACCAGCCUGGCCAAGAUGGUGAAGCCCCAUCUCUACUAAAACUACAAAAAUUAGCCAGGCGCGGUGGUCAGAGCCUGUAAUCCCAACUACUUGGGAAGCUGAGGCAGGAGAAUCACUUGAACCCAGGUGGCAGAGGUUGCAGUGAGCCGAGAUCGCACUGCUGCGCUCCAGCCUGGGAGGCAAACUGAAACUCAUCUCAAAAAACAACAAAAAAAUACGUGUAUUUAAAAAAGACUGGGAAGGUUCAUUAUGUCUGGAUAAAUAAGGUUUUUAUUUUAAAAAGUGAAGUUAUUAAUUUAAAUACAGACAGGGUUUCACCAUGUUGCCCAGGCUGGUCUUGAACUGCUGAGCUCAAGCCAUCUGCCGACCUCAGCCCCCAGAGUGCUGGGAUUACAGACAUGAGCCACUUUGUCCAUCCAAUAAAUUAGUUAAUGGCCGAUUUUUAUGUUCUUUUCUUAUCCAUACUUUCUGAAUUUUCUAUGCUACACAUUCAUGGCUUUUAUAAUGAGAAAAGAGUGAAUACAAAAGAAAAAUACAUAGAAGGGAAUAUAUUAAAUACAUAGAAGGAAAUACAUUAAAAUUCAAACAAUCAUUUAAUGGAAUGGUGAGGACGUGGAUUAUAAUUUUAAAAAGUAUUGUCUAUUUUUAAAUGUUCUUGAAUUAUUUGCAUUACUUAUAUGAAAAAUUUGACAUUGGAAACUUGCAAGAAUCUAAUUUGCUGUGCAGUCUGAGAUACACUCUACAAAGUCAAAUAUUUGUGAGUAACUUGAAGCACACACCAAGUGUCAAGUUUUGAAAAGGGAAACUUUCACAGGUUAUCAGCCAAAAACGAUGUAUUAUGGUAUUCUCUGGAAAGAUUCUGUGAACAAGCAAGACACCUGUUUCAGGUCUUGUUAAAUACCAGGUCUUUCCAUUUCCUUUAAGCCUUUCAGAGAUUUAGGCCAUGUCAUCAUACCUGAUCACUUCAUACCUGAACCCCACAAGGGCAGCAGCAUCCUCCGGUGUCUACUACCCGUGAGACCCCCUCUAGAGAAAGUUCCAGAAAACAAGAUGAGUUCAAAGAGUUCAUAAGGAACUUUUGGGGGAAGCUACAACUAUUAUUAGUUAACACUGAACAGGGAGCCAGGAGAUCUAGAUUCUUGUUGUAUUUGCCCUGUUCAUAUGACUUUGGACAAACCACUCAUCUUUUAGGAACCUUCAUUUCCUCAUUUAUAUUGAAGACAAUUGAAGUAAAGGACCUCUAAAGUCUGUUUCAGUUUGAAAAUUCUCUGUCUCAGAAGAAAUCCCUUAUGAAGAUCAGCAGCAGGAGGGCCUGGGGUGGAUUGGUGGGCCCUUCCUUCACAGUAAGAGAAAUAGGAACUCAGGCAGGGUCUAAGUCUCUGGGGAAUUUUGAGUUACUCUCAUCCAAUUCUGCACUUGAAAAACUGAGAAGUGAGACUGUGGAUUCAACACUCCUGAUACCCUUUUGAAAUCAAAGGCCUGGCUGCAUCAGGAUCCAGUCAUAAGGACAGAGUCCCCAUGAUGGGAUUAGUGUCUUUAUAAGAAGAGGAAGAGAGCCAGCCCUCUUUCCUUCCACCAAGUCAGAAUACAAUGAGAAGAUGGCUACCUGUAACCCAGGAGGAGUGCUUUCACCAGAACCUGGUUAUCCUGGCACCCCGAUCUUGGUCUUCUAUCCCCCAGAUUGUGAGAAAUCAAUGUUUAUUGUUUAAGCCACCUCAGUCUGGUAUUUCAUUACAGCAGCCCAAGUGACUAAGACGGUCCUCUUCCCCGCUUAUGAAUAAUGUAAUAAAACCAGGCACAGUGGCUCUCUACCUAUAAAUCACAGCACUUCAGGGGCCAAGGCAGGAGGAUUACUUGAGCCCAGGAGUUCAUGACCAGCCCGAGCAACAAAGUGAGACCCCCAUCUUUACCAAAAAAAAAAAAAAAUAGCCUGACAUGCUGGUGGCUACCUGUAGUCCCAGGUACUCAGGAGGCUGAGGUGGGAGGAUUGCUUGAGCCCUGGAGAUCAAGGUUGCAGUGAGCCAUGAUUAUGCCACUGCACUCUAGCCUGGGUGACAGAGUGGCACCCUGUCUCAAUAAUAAUAAUAAUAAUAAUAAUAAUAAUAAUAAUAAUGUAAUACUGGUGAGAUAGGGCAAUUUUUGCCCCAGGAUCUAAAAGGAAGUAAUGCCCUGUGGGAGCGCUCAACCAUAGUUUUUGGUUUAGAUUGGGUUGCAUGCAACCUUAGGCAAACAUCUAAAUCUCUCUGUACAUCAGUAUCAGCAUCUUUAAACAGGGAUAAUAAUGCCACCUAAAUUAUAAUGUUGUGAAGAUUAAAGAAUCAAUACAAGUAAAGUGCUUAGAAAAGUGCCAGCACAUAGCAAGCACUAUAUAUAGAUAGAAUAUAAGCUCCAUGAGGUCAAGGAUUUUACUUCCUGAUAUAUUCGCACUGCCUGGAAGAGCGUCCUGCACAGAGUAAGCAUAAUAUCCCACAAAAUGACUGAAAAAUGCAAAGACCUCUCAUGCCUGUAGUCCCAGCUCCUCAGGAGACUGAGACAGGCAGAUGGCUUAAGGCCAGGAGUUUGAGACUGCAGUGGACUAUGCUCGCACUUGGAAAUAGCCCCUGCUUUCCAGUCUGGGCAACAUGGAGAGACCCCCAUCUCUAAAACAAAGUAAAAUUUAAAAAGGAAAAAAUCAGCUUGGGAAACAUGGUGAAGCUCUGUCCCUACAAAGAAUACACAAAAUUUAAAAAUUAGCAGGGCAUGGUAGCGCAUACUUGCAGGCCCAACUACUUGGGAGGCUGAGAUGUGGGGAUUGCCUGAGCCCAGGAAGUCAAGGCUGUAGUGAGCCAUGAUUGCACUACUGCAUUCUAGCCUGGGUGACAGAGUGACAGCCUGUCUCCAGUAAAAAAAAAAAAAAAGAAAGAAAGAAAAGAAAAAAAAUUCAAGAAAGACCCUGGAAUUCUCCAGCUGAUAUACACUUUCCUACUUGGCUUGACAUUGACCGCAGCUGGCUGAGAACUCCUCAGCCCCUGAUUAGGGCUGAAGUCUUCGAGGAAUACUUUGCUCCUACUGGUUCAGGCAACCAAUUCCUCAGCUGGUGGCUUUGUUCUCUUAUCACAGAACAGAAAAGCAAAGGCCAGAAGGCAGGUGCAGCUAACCAAGACACACUGAACAGUCUGGUUGAUGGAAAAGCUUUCGAGUCCUCCCCUCCAGCAGGUAGAGGGAAAUAACCAUACUGUGGCCCUGCCUAGCCUGCUGCCUUUUUUCAAAACAGUUUGACCUCUGUGUUUAAUGACUUUAAUUGCAAAGUAGGGGUUCCUGAGCAGUAGGUUGCUUCAGGAGGUUGUGGGUUAGCAAAUGGAUAUUUGAAGCAGGCUGUCUGUAGACUGAAUAAACAGUGUGUCUGCUUCAUAUAUGAGCUACGUCCUCAGCAGGCUGGAGGGUAGAGACCAAGAUUUCUGAAAAUGCUGUUUUCUACCCCUCAUCAGAAUUGUUAGCAUCCUUGCUAAAAAUGCAGAUUUCAGGGCCUCACUUCAGUACAGCUAAAUCAGCAUUGGCAUUGGUAGGGGGUGGAGGUCGGAUGAGGAUGACAUGUGAAGUGGAGUAGAGCAGGAAUCUUUUUUUUUUUUUUAAUUAAUAAAAUUUGGUCGGGUGUGGUGGCCCACGCCUGUAAUCCCAGCACUUUGGGAGGCCGAGGCGGGCGGAUCAUGAGAUCAGGAGUUCAAGACCAGCCUGACCAACAUGAUGAAACCCCGUCUCUACUGAAAAUACAAAAAUUAGCCGGGCAUGGUGGUGCAUGCCUGAAAUCCCAGCUACCUGGGAGGCUGAGGCAGGAGAAUCGCUUGAACCUGGGAGGUGGAGGUUGCAGUGAGCCAAGAUCGGGCCUCUGCACUCCAGCCUGGGUGACAGAGCAAGACUCUGUCUCAAAAUAAAUAAAUAAAUAAAUAAAUUAAUUAAUUAAAUUUAUUUUUUAGGGCUGUUCUACAUUCAUAGCAAAACUGAGCAGCAAGUGUAGAGACUUCCGAUAUACCCCUUGUUGCCAUAACACACGACCUCCCCCACUAUCAAUAUCUGCGCCACUAUGUUUGUUUUAUUUAUUUAUUUAUUAUUUUUUGAGACGGAGUCUCACUCUAUCACCCAGGCUGGAGUGCAAUGGCACGAUCUCAGCUCACUCUGCCUCCUGGGUUCAAGUCAGUCUCCUGCCUCAGCCUCCUGAGUAACUGGGACUAUAGGCACGCGCCACCAGGCCUGGCUAAUUUUUGUAUUUUUAGUAGAGACGGUGUUUCACUAUGUUGGCCAGCCUGGUCUCGAACUCCUGACCUCAGGUGAUCCACCCGCCUCGGACUCCCAAAGUGCUGGGAUUACAGGCCUGAGCCAUCGCACCCGGCCUACACUUGUUAUAAUUGACAAACCUAUAUUGACACAUCAUUGUCAUCCAAAGACCAUAGCUUAUAUUAGGGUUCACUCUUGGUGUUGUACAUUCCAUGGGCUUUGACAGAUGUAUAAUGACAUGAUUCAUUAUUACAGUGUCAUACAGAAUACUUUCACUGUUCUGAAAAUCCUUUGUGCUGUGCCUAUUUAUCCCUCCCUUCCCCUUUCAACCCCUGGCAACCACUGAUCUUUUUACUGUCUCCAUAGUUUUGCCUUUUCCAGAACAUACGGUAUAUAACCUUUUCGGACUAGCUUCUUUCAUUUCAUAAUAUGUGUUCGAGGUUUCUCCAUGUCUUUUCAUGGCUUGAUAGCUCAUUUCUUUUUAGAACUGAAUAAUAUUUUAUUGUCUGCCUGUACCAUUGUUUAUCCAUUCACCUACUGAAGAACAUCUUAGUUGCUUCCAAGUUUUGGCAAUUAUAAAUAAAGAUGGCAUAAACACGGGCGUAGUGGCUCACGCCUGUAAUCCCAGCACUUUGGGAGGCUGAGGUAGGCCGAUCACGAGGUCAGGAGUUCGAGACCAGCCUGACCAACUCGGUGAAACCCUGUCUCUACUAAAAAUACAAAAAUUAGCUAGGUGUGGUGGCACAUGCCUGUAAUCCCAGCUACUCAGGAGGCUGAGGCAGGAGAAUGGCUUGAACCCAGGAGGUGGAGGUUGCAGUGAGCCAAGAUCGCACCACUGCAUUCCAGCCUGGGUGACAGAGUGAGACUCCAUCUAAAAAAAAAAAAAAAGGAUGGCAUAAACAUCCAUGGACAACUUUUUGUAUGGACAUAAAUUUUUGUGGAGUUUGUUUUGUUUUGUAUUUUGAGACAGGGUCUCGCUUUGUUGCCCAAGCUGGAGUGCAGUGGCACUACCAUGGCCCACUGCAGCCUCAUCUUCCCAGACUCAAGCAGUCCUCCCACCUCAGCCUGAGUAGCUGGGACUACAGGCAUGGACUUUCAUGCCCAGGUAAUUUUUUAAAUACUUCUUUGUAGAGACGGAGUCAUGCUAUGUUGCCAGGGCUGGUCUCAAACUCGUAGGUUCAAAAUCCCACCUCAGCCUCAG
rnacentral:lncRNA from 10 species